GGCUAGUCAAAAGUCUGAAGAAUAAUUAUGAAAACUGAGAAGAAUCACCUAGUCACCAUCAAUUUCACUAAGAGGAAGAAUUAAGGUGUUGAUGUAGACAGAAAGAAUUGCUGGUUCAGUUUGCAGGAGAAUUUCAGAGACUUUUUAUGACUGAGGGAAAUAUUUAAUUGAGGUGAUGUGAUACAAGAACAAGCAUGAAGAAACACACACUGGGGCUUUGUCAGCUUAGCAGUGCUCGCUCGAGGCUUGUGUUGAACUAAGAGAAUCUCAGCUGAAGGAGCGACCUCGGUUUAAUAAACAGUAAGAAGACCACAUAACCAGAGGAUUAAUCCCCAGAGGGCAAUCAUAUUUUUAGGAAGCACAUAGGAAAAAGAAUCGUUUAAAAAGCCACUGGAGCAUAUAUUUUUAAAUCUAAAAUUUUAAUCUGUAUAAUACAAUAGUUAUUAUUUUGGUUAUAAACAUAUUCUAUCUUUGACAGUCAAACUUUAAUAAAAGACAUACUCAGAUUUUUUAAAAUACUAUUUCAUCAUGCUUUAGGAGGAAACAAUGAAGAAUAAAAAUUUUAAAAUAAUGAAUAAGCA
rnacentral:lncRNA from 1 species